rnacentral:rRNA from 1 species
CUACGGGCGGCAGCAGUGGGGAAUAUUGGACAAUGGGCGAAAGCCUGAUCCAGCCAUGCCGCGUGUGUGAAGAAGGCCUUCGGGUUGUAAAGCACUUUCAGUGGGGAAGAAAGCCUUGGGGCUAAUACCCUCGAGGAAGGACAUCACCCACAGAAGAAGCACCGGCUAACUCCGUGCCAGCAGCCGCGGAAUACGGAGGGUGCGAGCGUUAAUCGGAAUUACUGGGCGUAAAGCGCGCGUAGGCGGUCUGAUAAGCCGGUUGUGAAAGCCCCGGGCUCAACCUGGGAACGGCAUCCGGAACUGUCAGGCUAGAGUGCAGGAGAGGAAGGUAGAAUUCCCGGUGUAGCGGUGAAAUGCGUAGAGAUCGGGAGGAAUACCAGUGGCGAAGGCGGCCUUCUGGACUGACACUGACGCUGAGGUGCGAAAGCGUGGGUAGCAAACAGGAUUAGAUACCCUGGUAGUC